rnacentral:rRNA from 1 species
GACGAACGCUGGCGGCGGGCUUAACACAUGCAAGUCGAACGGAAAGGCCCUGCUUUCGUGGGGUGCUGGAGUGGCGAACGGGUGAGUAACACGUGAGUAACCUGCCCUAGACUUUGGGAUAACUUCAGGAAACUGGGGCUAAUACCGUAUAGGAGCUCCUCCUGCAGGGUGGGGGUGGGAAAGUUGCGGCGGUUGGGGAUGGACUCGCGGCUUAUCAGCUGGUUGGUGGGGUAGUGGCUGACCAAGGCUUUGACGGGUAGCCGGCCGGAGAGGGUGACCACGCACAAUGGGACUGAGAGACGGAGCAGACUCCUACGGGAGGCAGCAGUGGGGAAUAUUGCCCAGUCGGCGGACGCCUGAUGCAGAGACGCCGGGUGCGGGAUGACGGCCUUCGGGUUGUGAAACGCAUUCGCCUGUGACGCAGCGUGAGUGACGGUAAUGAGUAAAGAAGCACCGGCUAACUACGUG